rnacentral:rRNA from 1 species
GACGAACGCUGGCGGCGUGCUUAACACAUGCAAGUCGAACGGAAAGGCCCUGCGUUUGUGGGGUGCUCGAGUGGCGAACGGGUGAGUAACACGCGAGUAACCUGCCCUUGACUUUGGGAUAACUUCAGGAAACUGGGGCUAAUACCGGAUAGGAUCUCCUGCUGCAUGGUGGGGGUUGGAAAGUUUCGGCGGUUGGGGAUGGACUCGCGGCUUAUCAGCUUGUUGGUGGGGUAGGUGCUUACCAAGGCUUUGACGGGUAGCCGGCCUGAGAGGGUGACCGGCGACAUUGGGACUGAGAGACGGCCCAGACUCCUACGGGAGGCAGCAGUGGGGAGUAUUGCACAAUGGGCGGAAGCCUGAUGCAGAAGCGCCGCGUGCGGGAUGACGGCCUUCGGGUUGUAAACCGCUUUCGACUGUGACGAAGCGUGCGUGACGGUAAUGGGUAAAGAAGCACCGGCUAACUACGUG